rnacentral:rRNA from 1 species
UACGUAGGAGGCGAGCGUUGUCCGGAGUUACUGGGCGUAAAGGGUGCGUAGGCGGCCGCGCGCGUGGCGGGUGAAAUCUCUCGGCUUACCCGGGAGGGUGCUUGCCAGACGGCGUGGCUUGAGGGACGGAGAGGGGCGUGGAAUUCCGGGUGGAGCGGUGAAAUGCGUAGAGAUCCGGAGGAACACCGACGGCGUAGGCAGCGCCCUGGCCGUUUCCUGACGCUAAAGCGCGACAGCAUGGGGAGCAAACGGA